AACUUCCUGAUUCCUGUCCUAGUUGCUAGGGAUUCUGUCUCUGUUUCUCCCUUUGUCUCUCUUUGUCUGUCUCUUUCUGUCUCUGUCAGUCUUUUUGUCUCUCCCCGUUUCUGUCUCUGCCUGUCUCUUUGUCUCUGUCUCUCCCUUUGUCUCUCUGUCUCUCCCUUUCUCUGUCUCUCUUUGUCUCUGUCUUUCUGUCUCUCUGCCUGUCUUUUUGUCUCUGUGUCUGUCUCUCUGCCUUUUUGUCUCUCUCUCUUUCUGCCCCUCUCUUUGUCUCUGUCUUUGUCUGUCUCUCUGUCUCUCCCUUUGUCUCUGUCUGUCUCUCUUUGUCUCUCUGUCUUUGUCUCUGUCUGUCUGUCUCUCUGUCUCUGUCUUUCUCUGCCUCUGUCUCUCUGUCUCUUUGUGUCUCUCCCUUUGUCUCUGUCUCUUUGUGUACCUGUCUCUCUACCUGUCUUUUUGUCUCUCUGUCUCUCUUUUCUGUCUCUCUCUGUCUCUGUCUUUCUCUGCCUCUGUAUCUGUCUCUCUUUGUGUGUCUCUCUCUUUGCCUGUCUCUCUCUGUCCCUGUCUCUUUGUCUCUGUCUCUGCCUCUCUCAUCUUCUCUCUAUUUUGUUGAAUAGAAGUGAUAUAAAGUGGAAGCGAUCCAACACCGGGUUCAGAACCAGAACUGCAUUUUCCUGACUUCUGUCCCACAUGCCUACUGGCCGUGAGGCCCUAGAUCAGUUCUGUAACCUCUCAGGGCAGCAGGCACGUCUCUAAGAUGCUAAGCUCCAGAGAAGGUGCCAGCCUGCCCUAGUGGAGGGAGUCGCCUCCCCCAGGCCCAGCCCUUCUCCGUGUCCUGCUUUCUCUGCCCGCCGGCUGCUUUCGGGGACUUUCUUUGCCCAGAGCCCAUCCUGGCACCUCAGAGGAGUGUCUGAUGCAGAUGUCGGGCUUAAGCCAGCCUGCACUUGGCAGAGUUGGCUAAUGGAUCCAUUUCUUGUCUUUAUAAAGUGAAAAGAACAUCCAGAAGGAAACCCUCUUUGAAGGAAGAGUCAGAGCUGUUUCGAGGAGCCUGAGGGAGGAGGGACGGGUGGUCAGAGAGGGCUGGGAAAGGAUGGAGAGUGGCAGCAGCAGCGCCUCGAGGACAGGGAGCAGAUUCCAGCCCCAGGAACUCGGGGCCAGGCUCCCUGCUGCGGCCAGAGAAGCCCGGGCAGCCCCAGAUCUUCGUCGUCGGCUCUUCAAUGAAAUGCCAACUUCUUUCCCCAUUCAGACGUUCACUGAGAUCAAAUGGACGCCUUUUCACGAACGAAGCUGGGCUCCCCCACGCAGGCCUGCGAAGUGUUUCUCUUGAGGAUCCCGAGGCCAAGUGCAGGGGCCGCUUCACACAUGUGCCAUUCCCGUGAGUCAACGUCCAGGCCUGAAACCAGGCUGCUGGGAAGGUUUUCCUGGAUCCCCGGAUUUGACAGAAGAAUUGGCAGAACCUCCGUGGCCGGCGAAGGGAGCUUGUACUGAUGGAGGCCCCUCUGUGAUCCAGCCUCUGCUGGAGGACGGACUGCCAGGCCUGGGGAGCCACCUUCCUCCGAGGAAGGCCGGUCUGCUUUAGGAAUGUCCUCCCUAGUCAGAAUUUGCCCUCAUCCUCCAUGGACUGGGAUCACCCCCAUUCUGGAGUCCCCUGGAUUCAGGUCGCAGCCCAGCGAACCGCACUCUUGCCCUUGUCCGGAGACUGAGCUUCUCAGCCUUCUGAUGCUAGCACAGAGCAGGCAGCUCCAUGUCAUCAGAAUCCAAACAAAAAUGCGAUGCCCGAAUCGGGCUCUGCGCGUCCCCUGACCAGAAUGGAGAACCUCCCUUCUGUCUCCUUUCAGGAGUCUCCACAGGCUGUCGUCACUGGGCCCCUCUCCGCUCUCUGAGAGGAGGAAUCCUUUCACUGUGGUUUGGGCUUUCCCAGCCCCAGUGCAAAGCAGAGUAAAAAAAUGGUUAUUAAUUAAAUCAAACAGUGCCGGGCACUGGGGAGAGAUGUACAAAGAAUAAAGCAAUUCUUAUGGAGCUUACUUAGGAGUGC
rnacentral:lncRNA from 1 species